AUUGAACGCUGGCGGCAUGCCUAACACAUGCAAGUCGAACGGAGGUAGGGGCAACUCUACUUCAGUGGCGGACGGGUGAGGAAUGCGUCGGAAUCUACCCUAUGGUGGGGGAUAACACAGGGAAACUUGUGCUAAUACCGCAUGAUGUCGAGAGACCAAAGCAGGGGACCGCAAGGCCUUGCGCGAUAGGAUGAGCCGACGCCCGAUUAGCUAGUUGGUAGGGUAAAGGCCUACCAAGGCGACGAUCGGUAGCUGGUCUGAGAGGAUGAUCAGCCACACUGGGACUGAGACACGGCCCAGACUCCUACGGGAGGCAGCAGUGGGGAAUAUUGGACAAUGGGCGCAAGCCUGAUCCAGCAAUGCCGCGUGUGUGAAGAAGGCCUGCGGGUUGUAAAGCACUUUUUGUUCGGGAAGAAAACGGAUCGGUUAAUACCCGGUUCGGAUGACGGUACCGAAAGAAUAAGCACCGGCUAACUUCGUGCCAGCAGCCGCGGUAAAGUA
rnacentral:rRNA from 1 species